AUUGAACGCUGGCGGCAGGCCUAACACAUGCAAGUCGAACGAGUGGCGGACGGGUGAGUAAUGUCUGGGAAACUGCCUGAUGGAGGGGGAUAACUACUUGAAACGGUAGCUAAUACCGCAUACCAUCAGAUGUGCCCACAUGGGAUUAGGUAGUUGGUUGGGUAACGGCUCACCAAGGCGACGAUGCCUAGCUGGUCUGAGAGGAUGACCAGCCACACUGGAACUGAGACACGGUCCAGACUCCUACGGGAGGCAGCAGUGGGGAAUAUUGCACAAUGGGCGCAAGCCUGAUGCAGCCAUGCCGCGUGUAUGAAGAAGGCCUUCGGGUUGUAAAGUACUGUCAUCGGGGAGGCGGUACCCGCAGAAGAAGCACCGGCUAACUCCGUGCCAGCCGCCGCGGUAAUAC
rnacentral:rRNA from 1 species